rnacentral:rRNA from 1 species
GAUGAACGCUGGCGGCGUGCCUAAUACAUGCAAGUCGAGCGAACAGACGAGGAGCUUGCUCCUCUGACGUUAGCGGCGGACGGGUGAGUAACACGUGGAUAACCUACCUAUAAGACUGGGAUAACUUCAGGAAACCGGAGCUAAUACCGGAUAAUAUAUUGAACCGCAUGGUUCAAUAGUGAAAGACGGUUUUGCUGUCACUUAUAGAUGGAUCCGCGCCGCAUUAGCUAGUUGGUAAGGUAACGGCUUACCAAGGCAACGAUGCGUAGCCGACCUGAGAGGGUGAUCGGCCACACCGGAACUGAGACACGGUCCAGACUCCUACGGGAGGCAGCAGUAGGGAAUCUUCCGCAAUGGGCGAAAGCCUGACGGAGCAACGCCGCGUGAGUGAUGAAGGUCUUCGGAUCGUAAAACUCUGUUAUUAGGGAAGAACAAAUGUGUAAGUAACUAUGCACGUCUUGACGGUACCUAAUCAGAAAGCCACGGCUAACUACGUG